UGGAAGAGCUGAAACACCGGUGAAUCUCUGGGCACACAAGAAGAGGUUCUGAUGCCACCUUGGGAAGGGGUACAGGGGUACAGACUGGUGGCAACCACAGUGGCAAGGAUGACAUUAAUAUGAAGGCUUCAAGUUGCUGCAAUCAUUCAUUGAGGCAACAGUACAAAGCUGCCAAUUAGAAAGCAAGACUUUUCUCAGUAGCAAAAGAAAAUGAAAAAUUCAAGGGUAGAUCUGAAGAUUACAAGGACCUUGAAAAUCCUACAGAAAUUUUCAGGUCAGCCCCAGAGGUGCAGAGCUUCAAAGAGUCCAGAGCAAUGCUGGAAUACAAUGCUGGAGUAUUUUCUGAAGUUUAUAAUGUAUAUCACUGCUCAUAGGCUAAAUUAGGAGAUUUCUGCAGUAACCUUUGUUGCCAUGGGAAGGAUUGCCAGACUUGGGGUUUAGGUUGCAAGUCAAGAGGCAGUGGGGGGCAAAGGAAGAACAGUGUCUSUCUCCUCUCUGAAGCACCAGGUCCUGGUGGUGGCAGAUGGCUGGAUGCUGGGAUCAAAGAAAUUAUGUUCUCUUUCACUGUGAUAAUUGCAACACUCCUUGCUGAUUUCCGUGUUUAUGAUCAUGGGUGAAUUUGAUAUAUUUCAAUAGAAAAAGGUCCAGAAAAGUGUAUUUUCUGUACAGUAAUCAAGACAACUAUAAUCCUGGCUAAAAUACAYGUGCUCAAGGUUGUAAACAGAGCGAGCCAGUGCAGUGACUGCUGGGCUUGAUGUGUCAUUGCUCUCAGCAGUGAGAUGUUCCUUUGCUGUUGUGGUUGAGUGAGGGGUCUGUGCAGCCCAUCCCUUACUGAGGCAAGAGCUGAGUGUCAUCCAGGUGGAGAGAGCUUCACUUGUGCCUUAAAUAAAGGAUCAGCAGCUGGGAACACUCACCACAGACCAGUGCUUUUUGUCAGCUGGCUAUUUGCAGUUAUCCAGCUUUUUUAAAGCAACUUAUAGGUGUUUUACAGGUCAAUUUUUAUGGCUUGCUUUGAUGUAYGAUGGGGGAGGCUGCACAGGCUGAAUGUUUACUCCCAUAUUUUCUUGGGACAGUAACUAUUUAACAGCUUAACUCUGCAACAAUGUGUAUUUAAUUCCCCCUCCCACCCCAAGG